UGGGGAAUAUUGCACAAUGGGCGCAAGCCUGAUGCAGCGAUGCCGCGUGCGGGAUGGAGGCCUUCGGGUUGUAAACCGCUUUUGUUCAAGGGCAAGGCAGGCUUUCGGGCCUGUUGAGUGGAUUGUUCGAAUAAGCACCGGCUAACUACGUGCC
rnacentral:rRNA from 1 species